UGAUUGUCCGAAUGCAAUUCUU
rnacentral:miRNA from 1 species